GAGCUUUUUGUCACAUUGUGCUUGGGUUUUAGGAGCCUUCAGGUGAGGCGGGUGUACAGGGCUCUGAAGAAAUACUGUAGCUUAGUAACAUAUUAGAGAGGUUACUCUGGGAGUCAGGAAAUGUUUGGGGCAGAUGAGGGACUCCAAGGAUAAGGAUACAAAGCCAAAUUGUAUUAGGUACCAGGAGCAGCAAAGAAAAGGGCUGAAGUCAGUUUUAUGGUCCAGAGGAGUGCUCUGGGAUAUAGUGGGAGGCACAGGAUGUGCUUGGCUGGGGCUUCUCCAAACUCUUUGCUCCUGCUCUGACAGUACCCCCCCAGUGAGACACCAACGGCCCCCGUUUGCAGCUGCAUUCCUUUCCCAGGCUUAGAACAAAAGCCCUCGCUGCAAAAACUGAGAGUUUGGUUCAAAAUAUGGAGAUUUGUUAAAUGAGCGCUCAGUUUGUUUAUUUCCUUGCUCAUUUCAGCAGAAUUGGGUGCUUGAUGUUUCAGACACAGUUCUUCACCACUGUUACAGUAACCGCUCAGGUAGCUAGGGAGAGUGAGGGCUCCCGGGGCAGCAGGAGCAGACUUUGGGAACCUUUGUGGGCUCUUCCAGCGCAGAUAUCCCAGUGGGAGGGCCGGGCUGGGCUGCAGCUGCUCUGGCAGCACGUGGAGCUUCAGAGCUGUGUGGUGGUGCUGGCAGGGCCAGGACCUGGCUUUGCCCCACGGGCAGAGCCACCAGCCCUGCUGCUGGAGCAGGACAGACCUGAGCCCUGCCCUGCUGUGCCAGCCCUGCCGUCUGCCCCUCGGGUGGGGCUCAGUGAGGGGACAGAUCAGGACAAGCUCCAAGGGGCUCGGCAGGGGCAGCACGGACUGCUCUUGGUGCCCUUGGUGCUGGGUUUCCUCCACAGCAGCAUUUGCAUCUCUGUAAUUACACUGCUGUUUGGUCACCUGGGGCUUACCCCAGUUACUGUCUCACUGGCUUCUGUGAAUGCUUAGAAAAGUGAGCACUAAAAUGCUGCUUCUUGGUUUAUCUCUGUCUUCAUUUGCUCUCUCCAGUGAGGGUUGGGGAAAUUUCCUGCAUUACCAGUCAUUACUGGUUUGAACUCAGGUGGUCACUUGCCUGUUCAGAAGCUCUUUUCAUCCCAGUGCCAGCAGUUCCAUUGCAAAGAGUGCUACAUAAACCCAGAACCUCACUGUUCCUGUUUCCUGAGCAAGGAACAAAGUUAUAUUUUUACAGAAAACUGGAACUCUGGAGAGCGAAGAGACCUUAUCCAAGGAGUCGUACCUAAAAAAGCAUUAGAGCUCAGUGGUUGCUGGGCUGUGAUCUAGUUCCGUGUGUGUGUAAAUUUUGGAAUCUUGCUGGCAGCAUGGACACAUCCAGAUAUUUGAGACUGCUGUCUUGGAGUGAGCACAGUGUUUUGGGGCAGUUGUAGCACACUGAAGGUGAUGAACCACAGAAAAGAUCAUAUUGUUGAACAUAUUACAGGAUACAUGUUCUUCCUGACCAGAGUGUGGGAUGUGUCAGGGGGUGAGGGCUGGAUUGAAGGAAUCUAUGGGGGUAAGCUGGGCAGGGAAGGGCCUAGGAGAAAGGUUCAGCCUGGCCGUCUGUUCCAGGCUCUGCAUUGCAAUAGCCAAGGUGGGUUUGCUUGCCCAUGGGGGAAGGAGUUCAGGCGUAAAAAUCACAGGGAUGCCUUCCUCCAAGCUGGCUGCUCCACAGAGACCUUUUGAGAGAAGGGCUGUGCUCUGUCCAUGGCUCAUGCUGGUGUUGAGCCUUGCCCAACACCCAGGGAUGGCAGUGGAGCUGGGGAAGGGCCUGGAGCAGGAGUCUGAGGAGUGGCUCAGGGAGCUGGGAAAGGUUCAGCCUGGAGAAAAGGAGGAUCAAGGUGACUUUCUCACUCUCUGCACCUCCUUGAUGGGAGGGUGCAGCCAGGUGGGGGUCAUGCUUGUCUCCCAGGAAACAGUGGACAGGAGAAGAGGAGAAGUCUCAAGCUGUGCCAGGGAUGCUCACAACUGCAUUCCCGAGCUGGACAGUGAAACAGCCAUGUUCUCUGUCUACGAUGGACACGGAGGAGAAGAAGUUGCCCUGUACUGUGCCAAGUACCUCCCUGAGAUCAUCAAAGACCAGAAGGCCUACAAGGAAGGCAAAUUGCAAAAGGCCCUGGAAGAUGCAUUCUUGGCCAUUGAUGCCAAGCUCACCACAGAGGAGGUGAUUAAGGAGCUCUCUCAAAUGGCUGGGCGGCCACAGGACGAUGAAGAUGAGAAGGAGAAAGUUGCUGAUGAAGAUGAUGUGGAUAAUGAGGAAGCUGCUCUUCUGCACGAAGAAGCCACAAUGACCAUUGAGGAGCUUCUCACACGUUAUGGACAAAACUGCACCAAGAACCUCAAAGCCAAGUCUGUAGCUGCAGCUGGGGAUAAUGCUGUGGAGGGGACAGGCAAGCAGCAUGAUGGGGAGUCAAAUAUGAAUGGAGAGGCUGACCCAGGGGAGCUUCCCGACCACAAGGAGAGGAAGAAUGGGAAGCCAGACGAAGAAAUCACGGGUAUUUCCUCCACCUCAGACAAAGCCAGCGCUGGAGGCAACAGCCCUGCUCUGCAGAAGCCUGAACUAGGCAAAGGUGACGAGGCCGUCACCUCUUCUACUGGGGAGGCCGGGCCCUCCUGCUCCUCUACGGGAAAGCCCCAGCGCACAACCAAAUCCAAAUUUUUUGAGGACAGUGAGGAUGAGUCAGAUGAGGUUGAGGAAGAGGAGGAAGACAGUGAGGAAUGUAGUGAGGACGAGGACGGUUACAGCAGUGAAGAGGCAGAGAAUGAAGAUGAUGAAGAUGACACUGAAGAAGCAGAGGAGGAUGAGGAUGAAGAGGAGGAAAUGUUGUUACCGGGCAUGGAGGGGAAAGAGGAGCCCGGCUCAGACAGCGGGACCACGGCUGUGGUGGCGCUCAUCCGGGGCAAGCAGCUGAUCGUGGCCAACGCCGGGGACUCGCGCUGCGUCGUGUCGGAGGGCGGCAAGGCCGUCGACAUGUCCUACGACCACAAGCCAGAGGAUGAGGUGGAGCUGGCCAGGAUAAAGAAUGCUGGGGGCAAGGUCACCAUGGACGGAAGGGUGAACGGCGGCCUCAACCUCUCCAGGGCCAUCGGGCACAGCACUGCCUGUGCCCAGACAUCUUCCUCCCCACACAGGGGAUCACUUCUACAAGCGGAACAAGAACCUCCCUCCAGAAGAGCAAAUGAUCUCUGCCUUGCCUGACAUCAAAAUGCUGACAAUAAACGAUGACCACGACUUCAUGGUCAUUGCCUGUGAUGGAAUCUGGAACGUGAUGAGCAGCCAGGAAGUGGUGGAUUUCAUCCAGUCGAAGAUCACCCAAAAGGAUGAGAAUGGAGUGCUGCGGCCACUCUCCUCCAUCGUAGAAGAGCUGCUGGAUCAGUGCUUGGCUCCAGACACCUCAGGGGAUGGCACCGGCUGCGAUAACAUGACCUGCAUCAUUAUCAGCUUCAAACCCCGUAACACACACCCACCCGCUGAGAGUGGGAAGCGGAAACUGGGGGAGGCAGCAGCACCAGCAGAGGAGAACGGUGGGGACAGCACCAAGAAGGCCAAACUGGAGUAGCAGGGCCCACCUGGGGACUGGGCUGUGCUCACCAGACUCUCGUUUCUUACCCAUGCUGAACUCAAGACUGCAGGUCUUGUCCUUUUUUUAGCCUUAGCAGAGGCCUUGUUUGUCCGUGUCCUGGUCGGGGGGUGGGGCGGGUCUGGUUAGCAAGGGCAUGUCGCACUGUUCAUCCGUAACCAUUCCAAAGAGGGAGCCAGGAUGAGCCGCGCCCGGGAGCGCUGCACCGCAGUCUGCUGAGGAGGAGGAGGAGGAGGAUGUCCCCCCAUUGUCUCCAUGUGGUUGUUGCCAUUUCUGUGCCUGUGAAUUUCUGUUUGGAGGGAAGAACUUUUUCACUGUUGAGGUUUUUUUAAUCUGCACCCGAUUAUUUAAGGCCCUUUCUGGUUUUUUUUUGUGAAACAAUCUGGCGGUGGUGCUGCAGCCACGCCGUGUUCAGUUGUACACUUUCAAUCAAUACUUUUUUCAAACUAAAAGACCAGAAAAUAUA